CCUACGGGAGGCAGCAGUGGGGAAUCUUGCGCAAUGGCCGAGAGGCUGACGCAGCGACGCCGCGUGGGGGAUGAAGCAUUUCGGUGUGUAAACCCCUGUUGCUCGGGACGAACGACCCUUUUCGAGGGGUGUGACGGUACCGAGUGAGGAAGCACCGGCUAACUCCGUGCCAGCAGCCGCGGUAAUACGGAGGGUGCGAGCGUUGUCCGGAAUCACUGGGCGUAAAGGGCGCGUAGGUGGUUGGAUGCGCCGGUGGUGAAAGCGCAGGGCUCAACCCUGCGUCGGCCAUCGGGACGGUCCGACUGGAGCACUGUAGAGGCAGGUGGAAUUCCGGGUGUAGCGGUGGAAUGCGUAGAGAUCCGGAAGAACACCGGUGGCGAAGGCGGCCUGCUGGGCAGUUGCUGACACUGAGGCGCGACAGCGUGGGGAGCAAACAGGAUUAGAUACCCUGGUAGUCCACGCCGUAAACGAUGGGCACUAGGUGCUUGGGGGAGCGACCCCCUGNGUGCGACGCACGCAUAGUCGCCCGCCGUCGGGAGGUACGACCGCGAAGGUUAAGGUAAACGUUAAAGGUUAAAGUUAGUACGGCGUUGAGACGUUCGCCGACGGACGACGACGAGGGGAGGAGG
rnacentral:rRNA from 1 species